GACGUAGGGCGCGAGCGUUGUCCGGAUUUAUUGGGCGUAAAGAGCUCGUAGGCGGCUUGUCGCGUCGACUGUGAAAUCCCGCGGCUCAACUGCGGGUCUGCAGUCGAUACGGGCAGGCUAGAGUUCGGUAGGGGAGUCUGGAAUUCCUGGUGUAGCGGUGAAAUGCGCAGAUAUCAGGAGGAACACCGGUGGCGAAGGCGGCUCACUGGUCCGGUACUGACGCUGAGGUGCGAAAGCGUGGGGAGCAAACAGG
rnacentral:rRNA from 1 species